rnacentral:rRNA from 1 species
GACGAACGCUGGCGGCGUGCCUAAUACAUGCCAGUUGAGCGCUGAAGGUUGGUACUUGUCCCGACUGGAUGAGCAGCGAACGGGUGAGUAACGCGUGGGGAAUCUGCCUUUGAGCGGGGGAAAAAAUUUGGAAACGAAUGCUAAUACCGCAUAAAAACUUUAAACACAAGUUUUAAGUUUGAAAGAUGCAAUUGCAUCACUCAAAGAUGAUCCCGCGUUGUAUUAGCUAGUUGGUGAGGUAAAGGCUCACCAAGGCGAUGAUACAUAGCCGACCUGAGAGGGUGAUCGGCCACAUUGGGACUGAGACACGGCCCAAACUCCUACGGGAGGCAGCAGUAGGGAAUCUUCGGCAAUGGACGAAAGUCUGACCGAGCAACGCCGCGUGAGUGAAGAAGGUUUUCGGAUCGUAAAACUCUGUUGGUAGAGAAGAACGUUGGUGAGAGUGGAAAGCUCAUCAAGUGACGGUAACUACCCAGAAAGGGACGGCUAACUACGUG